AUCCAACUGUCGAGUCCAAAAUAGGACGAAACACGCGUCAAACUGGAU
rnacentral:hammerhead_ribozyme from 1 species